GUGGGGAAUCUUGCGCAAUGGGCGAAAGCCUGACGCAGCCAUGCCGCGUGAAUGAUGAAGGUCUUAGGAUUGUAAAAUUCUUUCACCGGGGACGAUAAUGACGGUACCCGGAGAAGAAGCCCCGGCUAACUUCGUGCCAGCAGCCGCGGUAAUACGAAGGGGGCUAGCGUUGCUCGGAAUUACUGGGCGUAAAGGGCGCGUAGGCGGACAGUUUAGUCAGAGGUGAAAGCCCAGGGCUCAACCUUGGAAUUGCCUUUGAUACUGGCUGUCUUGAGUACGGGAGAGGUGAGUGGAACUCCGAGUGUAGAGGUGAAAUUCGUAGAUAUUCGGAAGAACACCAGUGACGAAGGCGACUCACUGGCCCGUUACUGACGCUGAGGCGCGAAAGCGUGGGGAGCAAACAGGAUUAGAUACCCUUGUAGUCC
rnacentral:rRNA from 1 species